rnacentral:rRNA from 1 species
AUUGAACGCUGGCGGCAGGCCUAACACAUGCAAGUCGAGCGAGCGGCGGACGGGUGAGUAAUGUAUGGGGAUUGCCCGUAAGAGGGGGAUAACUACUGGAAAGGGUGGCUAAUCCCGCAUACUAUCGGAUAACCCAUAUGGGAGUAGCUAGUAGGUGGGGUAAAGGCUAACAUAGGCGACGAUCUCUAGCUGGUCUGCGAGUAUGAUCACCCACACUGCGACUGUGACACUGCCCAUCCUCCUACGGAGGCAGCAUUGGCGAAUAUUGCACAAUGGGCGCAAGCCUGAUGCAGCCAUGCCGCGUGUAUGAAGAAGGCCUUAGGGUUGUAAAGUACUUUCAUCGGGGAGGCGUUACCCGCAGAAGAAGCACCGGCUAACUCCGUGCCAGCAGCCGCGGUAAUUC